UACGAAGGUGGCAAGCGUUGUUCGGAUUCACUGGGCGUACAGGGAGCGUAGGCGGUUAGGUAAGCCCUCCGUGAAAUCUCCGGGCCUAACCCGGAAAGUGCAGAGGGGACUGCUUGGCUAGAGGAUGGGAGAGGAGCGCGGAAUUCCCGGUGUAGCGGUGAAAUGCGUAGAGAUCGGGAGGAAGGCCGGUGGCGAAGGCGGCGCUCUGGAACAUUACUGACGCUGAGGCUCGAAAGCGUGGGGAGCAAACAGG
rnacentral:rRNA from 1 species